rnacentral:rRNA from 1 species
UGCGUAGGCGGUUUUCUAAGUCACGUGUGAAAUCUUCCGGCUCAACCGGAAAACUGCGCGUGAUACUGGAGAACUUGAGUGAGGUAGGGGUGUGUGGAACUUCCGGUGGAGCGGUGAAAUGUGUAGAGAUCGGAAGGAACGCCAGCAGCGAAAGCGGCACACUGGGCCUUUUCUGACGCUGAGGCACGAAAGCUAGGGGAGUGAACGGGAUUAGAUACCCCGGUAAUCCUAGCCGUAAACACUGAACACUGGAGGACGGGGGCUUCGGCCUUCGUUCUCGUAGCGAAAGCGUUAAGUGUUCCGCCUGGGGAGUAUGGUCGCAAGGCUGAA